UACGAAGGGGGCUAGCGUUGCUCGGAUUUACUGGGCGUAAAGAGCUCGUAGGCGGUCUGUCGCGUCGGUCGUGAAAACUUGGGGCUUAACCCUGAGCUUGCGGUCGAUACGGGCAUGACUGGAGUUCGGCAGGGGAGACUGGAAUUCCUGGUGUAGCGGUGAAAUGCGCAGAUAUCAGGAGGAACACCGGUGGCGAAGGCGGGUCUCUGGGCCGAUACUGACGCUGAGGAGCGAAAGCGUGGGGAGCGAACAGG
rnacentral:rRNA from 1 species